rnacentral:lncRNA from 1 species
UGUUUUGAUAAAUGUGAAUAUUAAAUAAGUUAAAUUUUCUAUUAUAGAUCAAGAAGAGUGAAAUUCGGGAGUAGAUCAGGGAAAAGAAAAAGUAAAGGACUAAAUUGUAAAGUUUAGUCACAUUUUGUAUCGAGGUAAUUUUACAGUAAAUAAAUGCAAUAUUCUUUUAUUUUACAUUAUUAUUGUCAAUUUCCAACAUUUAUAUAUUAUUUUUUGAGAAUAUUUAAAGUCGAAUUAAAGGCGAAGUGACAGAGAAAAAG